CCUGGUCCACGAUGACGUCACGUUGCCACAGAUGAGCAGUCACAACAAAAGUAUAACCCCCCAGUCAGCCACAGGAGAGGCAGAUUCGUCCCCGGUACCAGAAAACGCAAGACACUUUAGUCCGGAUCCAGUCGAUCAGAGCGUGGAGGAUCCGUUCACUCAGAGGGUGAAGGCAAUGGGAUUCUCGAUGGACACUAUUUUGUCCGGUGUGACGUCACUACAAAGACGUACGUAUCUUUAUUACAACGUCUGAAUUAAUUGAUGUAUUACGUCUAUCUUUCCGCAAAGAAUAAACUACAAAAAAGAAGGUCGAGAGAAGUCAUUGUUUCUUGACCCCGUUGU